UCCGUAGGGUGCGAGCGUUAAUCGGAAUUACUGGGCGUAAAGCGUGCGCAGGCGGUUUUGUAAGCCAGAUGUGAAAUCCCCGGGCUCAACCUGGGAAUGGCAUUUGGGACUGCAAGGCUGGAGUAUGGCAGAGGGGACUGGAAUUCCUGGUGUAGCAGUGAAAUGCGUAGAUAUCAGGAGGAAUACCGAUGGCGAAGGCAGGUCCCUGGGCUGAUACUGACGCUCAUGCACGAAAGCGUGGGGAGCAAACAGG
rnacentral:rRNA from 1 species